CUUUCCUUUCCUUUUCGUCCAACCAAACAGGCCCUAAGGGAGAACCAAGGAGCCUCUUAUCAUCUUCUUCCUACAAAAAAGAAACUUCCAACUUGAGUUUACACUUCUUCCUACAAAAAAGAAACUUCCAACUUGAGUUUACACUACAAGAUUUGUGGGGUUUAAUGGCACGUCACUGAACACUGGGCCUCUUUCGGCAUCGCACCAUGAUUGUCACUCCAAGGGUAAUCUGUGGCUUUCAGGGAAGGGUCGCCAUGGUGAAUGAAGACAUUGAUGCGCUCGGAACGCCAGAAUGAGAAAAAACAAGUAAGCCGUCCAAUAAACGCCAUUCAAGAAAAGACAGUCUUUUAGGAGCCGCUGAAGAUGGAACUGGGUGUUGCUGAAACACAGCUUAAAGAAGAAAUUGGGGCGUAUUUUUUACACCAUGGACGAACCAUGUUGGUAUUGCCAAAGGGUUAAUAUUCAAUGCCUUCGACUUCCUCUCGAAAAGGUUCCUCUCCAUCUUGGUCGAUUUUGUCCCUACAGAUUGCGACUGCAGACGUUGUUAUUGCUAGAGGCGUGCUAAGGAGGAACAGCAGUUGCUGCGUGCAUAUCAACGUGAUCUCCAUCAUCCACGAGUUCUUCAUAUCGUCCUAGUGCUGUACAUCGUGUCUUUCACUAUAGUCAUAGCAGAAGAUCAAGCCAUGCACACACUGCUUCAAGUAUCCAAGCAAGACCUUACAGGAGCCGAUCUGUUGAUUCAAAAGAUGAUUUGUACUUGAUGGGUGAGAUUUACCAAGCUUCAGGUUUGAGGCGAAGGUGGAGUUUUAAGAAGCACUUUUGGCAUACUACAUACAGUGGGAAAAAGAUGCAGUUGAAUCUCAAUUAGGAAAAAUUUUGGAUCCAUGUAUCUCAGACAGUAGGACAUGGACCGUUGUGUGAGGUUGUAUUAUCAACUUGUGUAGGAUUGUUUUAUCAUAGGAGCUUGGAACUCAGCUGUAAAAAAAAUUCAGGAGAAAAAGAAUUCGUUGGCAGAGUCCUAAAGAUGAAAUUCAGUUUUGGGUGAAAGUUAAAAUUUGGUCAGUGAUUGCUUACAGAGUGCUUGCAAGCCUUUCAUGUGGUCUGUUGAAACCUAUGGUGGGGAAGAAAUAUGGUACACCAGGACGGGUGAAAUGAAGAGAAAUCAAAGCUCUUGCUUUGAUAUGGAGAAGCUAUCAAGAUGUCUACCGCGAUAGGUUUUUUGUCGUCUUUUGCUUGGACUCAUCUUUUUUAUUUAUUAUGGUUUUUUUGAGUGUUUGGGUCAAGGCAUCUGAGGCAGAGUGAUUAUAGUUGAUGAAUGCAUCCAUGUAUUUAGGUGGAGGGUUUCUUGGAGUGCUUAAUUGAAUGAAGUCGGAGAAGCUGGGAAUUUGAACAUCUGCUGCUGACCAAUUCAAGCAUUCUCGUUCUUAUUUUCCUUUUUUUUUGUCUUAUGAAUAUUUGUUCAAUAUCAAGCUGACCCAAAUUUGUAAAUGUGUACAAAUGUAUAUGCCUUUGAUUAUCAACGCAGGAAAAAUCUGUAUA